rnacentral:rRNA from 1 species
GACGUAGGGCGCGAGCGUUGUCCGGAUUUAUUGGGCGUAAAGAGCUCGUAGGCGGCUUGUCGCGUCGACUGUGAAAUCUCAGGGCUCAACUCUGACAUUGCAGUCGAUAUGGGCAGGCUAGAGUUCGGUAGGGGAGACUGGAAUUCCUGGUGUAGCGGUGAAAUGCGCAGAUAUCAGGAGGAACACCGGUGGCGAAGGCGGGUCUCUGGGCCGAUACUGACGCUGAGGAGCGAAAGCGUGGGGAGCGAACAGG